rnacentral:lncRNA from 1 species
GGAGACUCUAAGACUUCUGAAGAGUUUCUUGCUUCUUUCCUGUGGGGCAGUGACUCCACUUCCCAGCAGUAAUGGAAUAUCCUGAAUUAGCUACAUUAAUGUUAGAACCAUUUGGACCUCACCCAGGACUUCAACUACAUUAUGAGUAACUCCUGGACGAUUGGCACAGAAGAAGGCACAAGGCAAAUACCCAUCUCUGUACACCCUGUGCUACUGUGUCAUGUGCUGCUCCAGGCAACUCCAAUGGAUUGGCCACCCUGGCCAAUGUGUGAGUUAUAAAGCAAUGAUGUGUAGCUAUUGAACCUACAAUUUGGUUAAAGUUAAACUCUCAAGUUUUAUAUGUUUACAAGCAUAUUGUCCUUUUGUUAAUUUCCUCCCAGUACUCAUUUCUUGACUUCUUUUAGUUUUACUAUGUAGUAAUUUUUAAAAUGUUAGUCAAAGUUAGUUAAUUUAAUUCACUUAGCAGAUUUUCCUGUAAUUUUGGUUAAACAGUAUCCUUUCUGUACAGGCCCUCCAAACACCAGCACUGAGUAGAAAGAGGCUCUGAUUCAUGAAAUGUGAAUUUAUGACAGUUGCCACUCUUAAAAAAAAAAACAAACAGACAGAACU